CACUCUAGAGAUAGAGCUUCCCCUUCGGGGGCAAAGUGACAGGUGGUGCAUGGUUGUCGUCAGCUCGUGUCGUGAGAUGUUGGGUUAAGUCCCGCAACGAGCGCAACCCUUAUUGUUAGUUGCCAUCAUUCAGUUGGGCACUCUAGCAAGACUGCCGGUGACAAACCGGAGGAAGGUGGGGAUGACGUCAAAUCAUCAUGCCCCUUAUGACCUGGGCUACACACGUGCUACAAUGGGAAGUACAACGAGUUGCGAAGUCGCGAGGCUAAGCUAAUCUCUUAAAGCUUCUCUCAGUUCGGAUUGCAGGCUGCAACUCGCCUGCAUGAAGCCGGAAUCGCUAGUAAUCGCGGAUCAGCACGCCGCGGUGAAUACGUUCCCGGGCCUUGUACACACCGCCCGUCACACCACGAGAGUUUGUAACACCCGAAGUCGGUGAGGUAACCUUUUGGAGCCAGCCGCCUAAGGUGGGAUAGAUGAUUGGGGUGAAGUCGUAACAAGGUAGCCGUAUCGGAAGGUGCGGCUGGAUCACCUCCUUUCUAAGGAA
rnacentral:rRNA from 1 species